rnacentral:rRNA from 1 species
AUGAACGCUAGCUACAGGCUUAACACAUGCAAGUCGAGGGGCAGCAUGAACUUAGCUUGCUAAGUUUGAUGGCGACCGGCGCACGGGUGAGUAACACGUAUCCAACCUGCCGAUGACUCGGGGAUAGCCUUUCGAAAGAAAGAUUAAUACCCGAUGGCAUAGUUCUUCCGCAUGGUCGUACUAUUAAAGAAUUUCGGUCAUCGAUGGGGAUGCGUUCCAUUAGGUUGUUGGCGGGGUAACGGCCCACCAAGCCUUCGAUGGAUAGGGGUUCUGAGAGGAAGGUCCCCCACAUUGGAACUGAGACACGGUCCAAACUCCUACGGGAGGCAGCAGUGAGGAAUAUUGGUCAAUGGACGAGAGUCUGAACCAGCCAAGUAGCGUGAAGGAUGACUGCCCUAUGGGUUGUAAACUUCUUUUAUACGGGAAUAAAGUGAGGCACGUGUGCCUUUUUGUAUGUACCGUAUGAAUAAGGAUCGGCUAACUCCGUGCCAGCAGCCGCGGUAAUACGGAGGAUCCGAGCGUUAUCCGGAUUUAUUGGGUUUAAAGGGAGCGUAGGCGGACGCUUAAGUCAGUUGUGAAAGUUUGCGGCUCAACCGUAAAAUUGCAGUUGAUACUGGGUGUCUUGAGUACAGUAGAGGCAGGCGGAAUUCGUGGUGUAGCGGUGAAAUGCUUAGAUAUCACGAAGAACUCCGAUUGCGAAGGCAGCUUGCUGGACUGUAACUGACGCUGAUGCUCGAAAGUGUGGGUAUCAAACAGGAUUAGAUACCCUGGUAGUCCACGCAGUAAACGAUGAUUACUAGGAGUUUGCGAUACAAUGUAAGCUCUACAGCGAAAGCGUUAAGUAAUCCACCUGGGGAGUACGCCGGCAACGGUGAAACUCAAAGGAAUUGACGGGGGCCCGCACAAGCGGAGGAACAUGUGGUUUAAUUCGAUGAUACGCGAGGAACCUUACCCGGGCUUGAAUUGCAACUGAAUGAUGUGGAGACAUGUCAGCCGCAAGGCAGUUGUGAAGGUGCUGCAUGGUUGUCGUCAGCUCGUGCCGUGAGGUGUCGGCUUAAGUGCCAUAACGAGCGCAACCCUUAUCGAUAGUUACCAUCAGGUUAUGCUGGGGACUCUGUCGAGACUGCCGUCGUAAGAUGUGAGGAAGGUGGGGAUGACGUCAAAUCAGCACGGCCCUUACGUCCGGGGCUACACACGUGUUACAAUGGGGGGUACAGAAGGCAGCUACACGGCGACGUGAUGCUAAUCCCUAAAGCCUCUCUCAGUUCGGAUUGGAGUCUGCAACCCGACUCCAUGAAGCUGGAUUCGCUAGUAAUCGCGCAUCAGCCACGGCGCGGUGAAUACGUUCCCGGGCCUUGUACACACCGCCCGUCAAGCCAUGAAAGCCGGGGGUACCUGAAGUGCGUAACCGCAAGGAGCGCCCUAGGGUAAAACUGGUGAUUGGGGCU